rnacentral:lncRNA from 1 species
UAAACAUUAACCAACCCAAUAUGAGGUCAAAACUCACCUCGUAUGGUGUAGAACCCUUCCAAACUCCAAAUGGUAGCUAGAAUACUUCUAAUCCUACCUAAAAGAAAGUUUUACACCCAUCAAUUUAACCCCAAAAGUUACAAAUCAAAAACCCCCAAAUAAAAUCCUAGAUUUUUCAUUUCUAGGCUUCAUCUCAAAAACCCACUAAAUCAU